rnacentral:rRNA from 1 species
GACCUCAAAUCAGGUAAGAAUACCCGCUGAACUUAAGCAUAUCAAUAAGCGGAGGAAAAGAAAAUAACAAUGAUUCCCUCAGUAACGGCGAGCGAAGAGGGAUAAGCUCAAAUUUUAAAUCUGUUGGGUUCCACUCGACAGAGUUGUAUUUUGAAGAAACGUUUUCUGCGUCCAGGAUUAGCCUAAAUCCUUUGGGAUAAGGUAUCAUGGAGGGUGAGAAUCCCGUUCAUGGUUAAUCUUAAGGAAGCUCUACGAUACGUUUUCCAAGAGUCGAGUUGUUUGGGAUUGCAGCUCAAAAUGGGAGGUAAAUUUCUCCUAAGGCUAAAUAUUGGCGAGAGACCGAUAGCGAACAAGUACCGUGAGGGAAAGAUGAAAAGAACUUUGAAAAGAGAGUUAAACAGUACGUGAAAUUGUUGAAAGGGAAACGAUUGAAGUCAGUCAUACCAACGGGAAAUCAACCUUUUGAGCUCGGUCUCGUGGGUUUUGAAGAGUUUCAAAGCCUUCGGAUUCGCGGGAUUGGGAUCUCUUGGCGUACUUUUUCGUACGGUUAGUCAACAUCGGUUUUGAAUGUCAUAAAAUGACUGGAGGAAUGUAGCUUCGAUCUCGUAUUGAAGUGUUAUAGCCUUUGGUAGAUGUGAUGUUUGAGAUCGAGGAUUGCAACGGAUACCCUUCAGGGCUAUUCGUCUGAUCUCUGAUACGUUGCCUUGAUGUUGAAAGCUUGCUUAUGAUGUUAGGGUAUUACGGUCAAAAGGUUAGAACGAAUUACAUUCGUUAAGGAUGUUGACGUAAUGACUUUAAACGACCCGUCUUGAAACACGGACCAAGGAGUCUAACAUAUAUGCGAGUGUUUGGGUGAUUAAACCCUUGCGCGUAAUGAAAGUAAUUUUGGUGAGAUCCGGGAAAAAAUUUUCGGAGCAUCAUCGACCGAUCAGGAUAUUU